AGUGAACGCUGGCGGUAGGCCUAACACAUGCAAGUCGAACGGCAGCACAGUAAGAGCUUGCUCUUACGGGUGGCGAGUGGCGGACGGGUGAGGAAUACAUCGGAAUCUACUUUUUCGUGGGGGAUAACGUAGGGAAACUUACGCUAAUACCGCAUACGACCUACGGGUGAAAGCAGGGGAUCUUCGGACCUUGCGCGAUUGAAUGAGCCGAUGUCGGAUUAGCUAGUUGGCGGGGUAAAGGUCCACCAAGGCGACGAUCCGUAGCUGGUCUGAGAGGAUGAUCAGCCACACUGGAACUGAGACACGGUCCAGACUCCUACGGGAGGCAGCAGUGGGGAAUAUUGGACAAUGGGCGCAAGCCUGAUCCAGCCAUACCGCGUGGGUGAAGAAGGCCUUCAGGUUGUAAAGCCCUUUUGUUGGGAAAGAAAAGCAGCAGGUUAAUACCCCGCUGUUCUGACGGUACCCAAAGAAUAAGCACCGGCUAACUUCGUG
rnacentral:rRNA from 1 species